rfam:Sorghum bicolor cultivar BTx623 chromosome 9, whole genome shotgun sequence.
GGAUGCGAUCAUACCAGCACUAAAGCACCGGAUCCCAUCAGAACUCCGAAGUUAAGCGUGCUUGGGCGAGAGUAGUACUGGGAUGGGUAACCUCUUGGGAAGUCCUCGUGUUGCAUUCC